GACGAACGCUGGCGGCGUGCUUAACACAUGCAAGUCGAACGGAAAGGCCCUGCUUUUGUGGGGUGCUCGAGUGGCGAACGGGUGAGUAACACGUGAGUAACCUGCCCUUGACUUUGGGAUAACUUCAGGAAACUGGGGCUAAUACCGGAUAGGAGCUCCUGCUGCAUGGUGGGGGUUGGAAAGUUUCGGCGGUUGGGGAUGGACUCGCGGCUUAUCAGCUUGUUGGUGGGGUAGUGGCUUACCAAGGCUUUGACGGGUAGCCGGCCUGAGAGGGUGACCGGCCACAUUGGGACUGAGAUACGGCCCAGACUCCUACGGGGGGCAGCAGUGGGGAAGAUUGAACAAUGGGCGGAAGCCUGAUGCAGCAACGCCGCGUGCGGGAUGACGGCCUUCGGGUUGUAAACCGCUUUCGCCUGUGACGAAGCGUGAGUGACGGUAAUGGGUAAAGAAGCACCGGCUAACUACGUGC
rnacentral:rRNA from 1 species